rnacentral:rRNA from 1 species
CCUACGGGCGGCAGCAGUGGGGAAUAUUGCACAAUGGGCGAAAGCCUGAUGCAGCAACGCCGCGUGAGCGAUGACGGCCUUCGGGUCGUUAAGCUCUGUCUUCAUGGAAGAUAAUGAUUGUACUUGAGAAGGAAGCUCUGGCUAACUACGUGCCAGCAGCCGUGGUAAUACGUCGGGGGCUGUGGUUAUCCGGAAUUACUGGGCGUAACGGGUGUGUAGGUGGUUUCUUAAGUCAGAGGUGAAAUGCUACGGCUCAACCGUAGUAAGCCUUUGAAACUGGGAGACUUGAGUGCAGUAGAGGAGAGUGGAAUUCCUGGUGUAGCGGUGAAAUGCGUAGAUAUUAGGAGGAACACCAGUUGCGAAGGCGGCUCUCUGGACUGUAACUGACACUGAGGCACGAAAGCGUGGGGAGCAAACAGGAUUAGAUACCCCAGUAGUC